GAUGGCAGAAACGGUAAAGAUUCCGUUACUGCCCAUACGGGUUACGCGGGGACGGAGAAGUGACAGUGCCGCCGUCUGACGGAAAAGACGGUUGAAGGGUGUAGAUGUUGAUUGCCGCAGGCAAAUCCACGGCAAGAGUCGAACCUGAGAGUAUGGAGCGUCCUUCGGGACAAUCCAAUAGCGCACGUAAGCCGGCUCCCAAGAAAAUCCGCUACACACAACCGUGUGGGCACCCGUACCGUAAACGGAC
rnacentral:rRNA from 16 species